rnacentral:rRNA from 1 species
ACCUGCUAGCCGCAGUAUUUUGACUGUGCUAAGGUAGCAUAAUCAUUAGUCUUUUAAUUGGAGGCUGGUAUGAAUGGUAAGACGAGAAAGAAACUGUCUACGAAAUUCAUUUUUUAGUGAAAAAGCUAAAAUAAUUCUAAGGGACGAUCAGACCCUAUGGAGCUUUUUUGUUGGGGCGACAAUUAUUGAUCCCCCGGGUGGGAUUAAAAGAAUAAGUUACCCUAGGGAUAACAGCGUAAUUUUUUUGGAGAGUUCAGAUCGAUAAAAAAGUUUGCGACCUCGAUGUUGGAUUAGGAAUUUAGUUAGGUGCAGAUGUUUAACUGUAGAGUCUGUUCGACUUUUGAAUCCUA